UCCCUGAUGGCUCAGAGGGUAAAGCGUCUGCCUGCAAUGCAGGAGAUCCAGGUUCAAUUUCUAGGCUGGGAA
rnacentral:tRNA from 1 species